CACUCUUCACACUUCCCCACUUCCCGCACUUCGCACUUUGUCACACUUCACAUUUGUCACACACUUCACACUUCACACAUUUCACACACUUCACACUUUACACUUCACACAGCACACUUCACACAUUUCACACACUUCACACUUUACACUUCACACAGCACACACUUCACACUUCACACUUUUCACACACUUCACAACAAGCGCUGAACAAAAUACUUACAAAACACUUCAAAAACACUUCUCAAGGACUUAACAAACAAUAACACUUAAAUAAACACUUAAAAAUCACACUUCACUCUUUACACCAAAACACCCAAAGACACAAACACUUAACCACUUCACCCUUCAUACUACACACUUCACACUUUAAAAAAAAUACUUAAGCAUUUCAUACUUAAAUAAAUACUUUAACAUUUAACACCUGAACACAAACACACAAACACUUCACACUUAAACACUUAAUACCUUAACACAAACACUUUAACACCUAAAUACACAAACACACAAACACUUCCCAAGUAAAUAAACACUUCACAAACAAUUACACUUAACUAACAAUUAGAAAACACUUCACCAACAGUUAACAAACACUAACACUUAAAAAUUACACUUCACACUUGAAAAAAACACUUUAACACUUUAAUGCUUAAACACACACUUCACACUUCACACACACUUCACACUCUUCACACUUCCCCACUUCCCGCACUUCGCACUUUGUCACACUUUGUCACACUUCACAUUUGUCACACACUUCACACUUCACACAUUUCACACACCUCACACUUCACACAGCACACUUCACACUCCACACUCCACACUUUUCACACACUUCACAACAAGCGCUGAACAAAAUAUUUACAAAACACUUCAAAAACACUUCCAAGGACUUAACAAACAAUGACACUUAAAUAAACACUUAAAAAUCACACUUCACUCUUUACACCAAAACACCCAAACACACAAACACUUAAACACUUCAAAUCACUUCACCCUUCAUACUACACACUUCACACUUUAAAACAAAUACUUAAGUAUUUCAUACUUAAAUAAAUACUUUAACAUUUAACACCUCAAACAAACACACAAACACUUCACACUUAAACACUUAAUAGCUUAACACAAACACCUAACACAUAAAAACACAAACACACAAACACUUCACAAGUAAAUAAACACUUCACAAACAAUUACACUUAACUAACAAUUACAAAACACUUCACCAAUAGUUAACAAACACUAACACUUAAAAAUUACAGUUCACACUUGAAAAAAACAUUUUAACACUUUAAUGCUUAAACACACACUUUAACACUUAACACUUAAGCACACACUUUAGCACUUCACACUCAACACAUAAACACACACUUUAACACUAAACACUUCAACACCAUAACACCUAAAUACCUAAACACCCAAACACCUCAACACUAAUUGAUUUUAGAUGUACUAUUCCUAAAGAACUUACAUUUAUAUUAUAAUAUAGGAAAGAGACUUAUUCAAGUAUAUAAUUUCUAUGAAUAAAAUUAUAUUUCAAAAACAUGUUUAAAUGCAAAAUGAAAUUUAAAAAUUUUAAAAUUAUAAAAAAUCAUUAUCCU
rnacentral:lncRNA from 1 species